rnacentral:tRNA from 1 species
UUAGAUGUGACUCAGUGGUAGAGCACUUGCCUAGCACACACUAGGCCCUGGAUUCCAUCCCCAGUACUAAG